rnacentral:tRNA from 1 species
UAGGUUAAGGCCAAAGUUUGAGGCAUCUAAUUGUUAACUAGAAGAUUGUGAUAUUCACUAACCUAG